UUCACGAAUAAAUUUAUAGGGUCCGAUGGUAACUAAAAUCUGUUAGCUGUUAGCUUUUUCGAAACAAUGCAAAGCUGUAAAAAAAACUAUACGAGAAAAUUAUAAAAAAA
rnacentral:sRNA from 1 species